CAGCCGCCACGGUAAUACGUAGGGUGCGAGCGUUAAUCGGAAUUACUGGGCGUAAAGCGUGCGCAGGCGGUUAUAUAAGACAGAUGUGAAAUCCCCGGGCUCAACCUGGGACCUGCAUUUGUGACUGUAUAGCUAGAGUACGGUAGAGGGGGAUGGAAUUCCGCGUGUAGCAGUGAAAUGCGUAGAUAUGCGGAGGAACACCGAUGGCGAAGGCAAUCCCCUGGACCUGCACUGACGCUCAUGCACGAAAGCGUGGGGAGCAAACAGGAUUAGAUACCCCAGUAGUCCCUGUCUCUUAUAC
rnacentral:rRNA from 1 species